UCCCUGAUGGCUCAGAUGGUAAAGCAUCUGCCUGCAAAGUGGGAAAGCCAGGUUGGAUGCCUGGGUCAGGAAG
rfam:TPA: Bos taurus chromosome 9, whole genome shotgun sequence.